UGUAGGAGACUCCGCGGAGGCUGCGGGUCUGCCCCAGAGCAGAAGGAGCAGUUUGCUGGAGCAGCAGGACAGAGAUGCGCUCGGCCAAGCUUCAAGAGGCCGGGAGAGGAAGCGGGUCCACAGCAAGAUUACAAGCUCUCCAAGGGCAAGGACUUGUCUCCCUGUUGUAGGACCCAAAACAGUUCACACAUAAGUCAAUAAGAAAAGAAAAAUUGAAGCAUGAGAGAUGAGCACUGCUGUAAAGUCCCCACAGCUGCCACAGAAACGCAUGUGCUGCAUUCCAUCAUCCCUCGCAUUCAAAACGCUACUGAUGCAUAGCACCUAACCAAGUCCCCAGGCUGCACCCCGCUCCCCAGGAAGCUACGUCACCUCCAUCGCUACUGUAUUGUCUGCUAUGUUGUUCAGUGCUGGCUUUUCUGAUUCGUGAUUUUCCCUGUUGAAAUAAAGUUCAACCGAUUAGCUGUAA